CCUACGGGAGGCUGCAGUGAGGAAUAUUGGUCAAUGGCCGAGAGCCUGAACCAGCCAAGUCGCGUGAGGGAAGACGGCCCUACGGGUUGUAAACCUCUUUUGUCGGGGAGCAAAGCGAACCACGUGUGGUUCAUUGUAAGUACCCGAAGAAAAAGCAUCGGCUAACUCCGUGCCAGCAGCCGCGGUAAUACGGAGGAUGCGAGCGUUAUCCGGAUUUAUUGGGUUUAAAGGGUGCGCAGGUGGAGGGUCAAGUCAGCGGUCAAAUUGCGGGGCUCAACCCCGUACUGCCGUUGAAACUGGAUGCCUUGAGUGCGCGAGAAGUAUGCGGAAUGCGUGGUGUAGCGGUGAAAUGCAUAGAUAUCACGCAGAACUCCGAUUGCGAAGGCAGCAUACCGGCGCGCAACUGACGCUCAUGCACGAAAGCGUGGGUAUCGAACAGGAUUAGAUACCCCGGUAGUC
rnacentral:rRNA from 1 species